GGCUGGUCCGAUGGCAGUGGGUUAUCAGAACUUAUUACAUUAGUGUCACUAAAGUCGUAUACCACUCCCCACUGCUAAUUUGACUGGCUAAAA
ensembl:misc_RNA Y_RNA Y RNA